UACGUAGGGUGCGAGCGUUAAUCGGAAUUACUGGGCGUAAAGCGUGCGCAGGCGGUUGUGCAAGACAGAUGUGAAAUCCCCGGGCUUAACCUGGGAAUUGCAUUUGUGACUGCACGGCUAGAGUGUGUCAGAGGGGGGUAGAAUUCCACGUGUAGCAGUGAAAUGCGUAGAUAUGUGGAGGAACACCGAUGGCGAAGGCAGCCUCCUGGGCCAGCACUGACGCUCAUGCACGAAAGCGUGGGGAGCAAACAGG
rnacentral:rRNA from 1 species